CCAAGACCAAACAGGAGGCUGUUAGGACACCACCCUUACAAGCCUCUGCCAACUUGGCAGGAGGAGGAAAUUUUUGUUUUAAAAGAAAGAGAACUGGAUGUCCUCUUGUACACAUGGAUUAACUCACAGUUUCAUAAGACCUUGGGAAAGGAGAAAAUCAAAGGAGCUGUCUUUCCCUAAUUUGGACGGAGAGUUGGUGAAAAAUGGCACCUGCUCCAAGCCAUAAUAUCUGGAAUGUGUGGCCUUCAGAAUUGCCACUGUAGAGAAGAGAAGGCUGGAAGACCCCAUGGGAUGCUUUAAGGGCUAGGCCCAGAAGUGCAAUUACGUCAUUUACAACCACCUCUCUUUGGCCAGAACCAGGUCACACAGCUCCGUUCUAACUGCAAAGGAGGCCAGGGCUUAGAAGAUCUCGUGGAUAUUUGGUGAAUACUGGCAGUCUUGCCAUAGUCAGGAAACUUCAAAAAGGGGAAAAGAUGCCCUAUGGCCACACUCCACUCUGGCCCACAAGCUGGCAUCAUCCAAUGACGUGGCCGAUGUGGCCUCAUUUGUUGCGUGGGCUGGCAAAACCCAUAUUCAGGUUAUACAGGAAUCCUUCAUUAAAGUUUAGAGGUCCUUUCUCCUCC
rnacentral:lncRNA from 10 species